CGUCUACGUCACGUGACAUUCUGCGCGUAUUUGGCGCCUUCUUUAAAAGGUGAUUGCUCGGGCCGGGGAUUGCCUGGAGAAGAACGCUGUCAUAGUGUUUUCGUGAAUAUGUUCAGCUAAAUCUACAAAGCUCCCAGCAUUAUCCAAAGUCCAAGGGACAACAUGUAAUGAAAAGAUACACAUGCUGCACUGAAUAAAGAGGGUGUAACCGCUGUGGAUGAAAAAGGUGGCAUUUUUAAAGUGGAGUGAAUCGAGGAUGUCGAAUACCGGAUUAAUUUAAAUGGACAGGUACCAUCAUGAACAUGUGAGGAUUUCACAUACUUUUUGUUGCCAUGCAAGCAUAUCUGUUGCAUUUUCAGCUCUUUACAGGUUCAAUCAUUCAUAUACAAACAUCCUGCUGUUUGUGCUAGAAUCGGAGUGCUUCUCCGAAAACCUGGAAUUAAUUGAUGGCAGUAGCAGCACAGUGCAACUACCAAGUGAAAAGCUUGAAGAUCUUCCACCAUGGAGGAGAAUGAAAUGUACUAUAUAGGUAUAGGAUCCAUUAUCUGGAAACCCGUUAUCCAGAAAGCUCUGAAUUUUGGAAAGGCUAUGCCCCCAUAGACUCUGUUAUAAUCAAAUAAUCCAAAGUUUUAAAAUGUAUUUCCUUUUUCUCUGUAAUAAUAAAACAACCUUGUACUUGUUCCAAA